rnacentral:rRNA from 1 species
UACGGGGGGGGCAAGCGUUGUUCGGAAUUACUGGGCGUAAAGGGCUCGUAGGCUGCCAACUAAGUCAGACGUGAAAUCCCUCGGCUUAACCGGGGAACUGCGUCUGAUACUGGAUGGCUUGAGUUUGGGAGAGGGAUGCGGAAUUCCAGGUGUAGCGGUGAAAUGCGUAGAUAUCUGGAGGAACACCGGUGGCGAAGGCGGCAUCCUGGACCAACACUGACGCUGAGUGAGCGAAAGCCAGGGGAGCAAACGGG